rnacentral:rRNA from 1 species
CUCUGUGACUCCUACGGGGAGGCAGCAGUGGGGAAUAUUGCACAAUGGGGGAAACCCUGAUGCAGCCAUGCCGCGUGUGUGAAGAAGGCCUUCGGGUUGUAAAGCACUUUCAGUAGGGAGGAAGGUAGUGUAGUUAACACCUGCACUAUUUGACGUUACCUACAGAAGAAGCACCGGCUAACUCCGUGCCAGCAGCCGCGGUAAUACGGAGGGUGCGAGCGUUAAUCGGAAUUACUGGGCGUAAAGCGCAUGCAGGCGGCCUGUUAAGUCAGAUGUGAAAGCCCGGGGCUUAACCUCGGAAUUGCAUUUGAAACUGGCAGGCUAGAGUCUUGUAGAGGGGGGUAGGAAUUUCAGGUGUAGCGGUGAAAUAGCGUAGAGAUCUGAAGGAAUACCAGUGGCGAAGGCGGCCCCCUCGGACAAAGACUGACGCUCAGAUGCGAAAGCGUGGGGGAGCAAACAGGAUUAGAUACCCUGUAA